rnacentral:rRNA from 1 species
GAUGAACGCUAGCUACAGGCUUAACACAUGCAAGUCGAGGGGCAGCAUGGUCUUAGCUUGCUAAGGCCGAUGGCGACCGGCGCACGGGUGAGUAACACGUAUCCAACCUGCCGUCUACUCUUGGACAGCCUUCUGAAAGGAAGAUUAAUACAAGAUGGCAUCAUGAGUCCGCAUGUUCACAUGAUUAAAGGUAUUCCGGUAGACGAUGGGGAUGCGUUCCAUUAGAUAGUAGGCGGGGUAACGGCCCACCUAGUCUUCGAUGGAUAGGGGUUCUGAGAGGAAGGUCCCCCACAUUGGAACUGAGACACGGUCCAAACUCCUACGGGAGGCAGCAGUGAGGAAUAUUGGUCAAUGGGCGAGAGCCUGAACCAGCCAAGUAGCGUGAAGGAUGACUGCCCUAUGGGUUGUAAACUUCUUUUAUAAAGGAAUAAAGUCGGGUAUGGAUACCCGUUUGCAUGUACUUUAUGAAUAAGGAUCGGCUAACUCCGUGCCAGCAGCCGCGGUAAUACGGAGGAUCCGAGCGUUAUCCGGAUUUAUUGGGUUUAAAGGGAGCGUAGAUGGAUAUUUAAGUCAGUUGUGAAAGUUUGCGGCUCAACCGUAAAAUUGCAGUUGAUACUGGAUAUCUUGAGUGCAGUUGAGGCAGGCGGAAUUCGUGGUGUAGCGGUGAAAUGCUUAGAUAUCACGAAGAACUCCGAUUGCGAAGGCAGCCUGCUAAGCUGCAACUGACAUUGAGGCUCGAAAGUGUGGGUAUCAAACAGGAUUAGAUACCCUGGUAGUCCACACGGUAAACGAUGAAUACUCGCUGUUUGCGAUAUACUGCAAGCGGCCAAGCGAAAGCGUUAAGUAUUCCACCUGGGGAGUACGCCGGCAACGGUGAAACUCAAAGGAAUUGACGGGGGCCCGCACAAGCGGAGGAACAUGUGGUUUAAUUCGAUGAUACGCGAGGAACCUUACCCGGGCUUAAAUUGCAGAUGAAUUACGGUGAAAGCCGUAAGCCGCAAGGCAUCUGUGAAGGUGCUGCAUGGUUGUCGUCAGCUCGUGCCGUGAGGUGUCGGCUUAAGUGCCAUAACGAGCGCAACCCUUGUUGUCAGUUACUAACAGAUUCCGCUGAGGACUCUGACAAGACUGCCAUCGUAAGAUGUGAGGAAGGUGGGGAUGACGUCAAAUCAGCACGGCCCUUACGUCCGGGGCUACACACGUGUUACAAUGGGGGGUACAGAGGGCCGCUACCACGCGAGUGGAUGCCAAUCCCCAAAACCUCUCUCAGUUCGGACUGGAGUCUGCAACCCGACUCCACGAAGCUGGAUUCGCUAGUAAUCGCGCAUCAGCCACGGCGCGGUGAAAUACGUUCCCGGGCC